AUUUUUACUGCGCAUCACAGGUAUUCAAACUUUUAGAUAAUAUCCGCGUCAGAGGCAUCUUCAAUGUUUUACCGGGGAGGACACCUUGGUUGUCGCGGGGCCAGGUGAGCCUAAGCUGAGCUGAGAGUGUACCCAUCUUCUGAUGGCUACUUCCAGAAGAAUAAUGCAACAUGUCCUGAAGAUCAAAUUUCCCAAACUACAAUGCAUUGUAUUCCAGUGGCCUCCAAGGUCAACAGAUCCUAAUCCAGCAAAGAGCACUGUUGGGAUGUAGUGGGCAUUCAUGCCAUGGAUCUUCAGCCAAUAUAUCGGCAGCAGCUGUGUGAUGCUAUCAUACCAAUGUGGACCAAAACCUCUGAGGAAUGUUUCUGAUGCCCUGUUGAAUUUGUGCAUUGUGUACCUACUAAAGUGGCCAGAGAGUAUUUCUUUUGCA